UGGGGAAUAUUGGACAAUGGGCGAAAGCCUGAUCCAGCCAUGCCGCGUGUGUGAAGAAGGUCUUCGGAUUGUAAAGCACUUUAAGUUGGGAGGAAGGGCAGUAAGCGAAUACCUUGCUGUUUUGACGUUACCGACAGAAUAAGCACCGGCUAACUCUGUGCCAGCAGCCGCGGUAAUACAGAGGGUGCAAGCGUUAAUCGGAAUUACUGGGCGUAAAGCGCGCGUAGGUGGUUCGUUAAGUUGAAUGUGAAAGCCCCGGGCUCAACCUGGGAACUGCAUCCAAAACUGGCGGGCUAGAGUAGGGCAGAGGGUGGUGGAAGUACCUGUGUAGCGGUGAAAUGCGUAGAUAUAGGAAGGAACUCCAGUGGCGAAGGCGACCAACUGGGCUCAUACUGACACUGAGGUGCGAAAGCGUGGGGAGCAAACAGG
rnacentral:rRNA from 1 species